rnacentral:rRNA from 1 species
AAAAUAUUUCAUUGACGUAUCAGGUUAACUACACCAGUUAAACUACAUAUGGUAGCCCACACACAUUGUGCCAAAGUGCUUAAUUUACGAAUAAAUCUUUAACAGAUCGUACUCAAUAAAUUAAUUCUUGACCCUGCCCACCAGAUCAAAGGCCCUGCCCACAACACCAAUGUCCUAUAUUAGUCGAGCUAGGGAACUAGGCGCUAGAAAACAGGUGAACAGGGGUGGCUAAAGUGGUGCCAGCAGUCGCGGUUAUACCUCUGCCCCAAGUUAAUCACCUCAAACAGGGACAAUGCCAACAUUGGUCUAAUGAUCACUUUCUUACGUAAAAAAUAAAUCAUAACUAAACCCAAACAAACCAUACGCCCUUAAUCCCAACAAACCACAACCUCAAAACUCGGAUUAGAUACCCGACUAUUGUGUGGCCCAACACAAAAAGAAUACUAUAAGCGAAAGCUCAAACCUCAAACAAUGUGGCGGUGCUUAACUCCUCAUCAGGGGAUCCUGUGUCUUAAUUCGAUAAUCCACGAAAACCCUAGCUUUCCUUGUUAUCAGCUUGUGUAUGGCCGUUUACGCUUGCUCAAAAAAGACUUUAAAGGAAGCAACAGGACCACCUCCCCUUAAUUCAGGUGACAUACAGCCAAUGGAAAGCUGACUCAUGGGAUACAAAUAAACACACUACCAGACUUAAACCUUAAACCAUUAAUAAAGGAGGACUUGAAAGUAAGACCUGCAUACACAAAAUCAGUCUGAACAAGAACUUAAGCGCGCACAAAUCGCCCGUCACUCCGACAGUAAAGUCGGAUAAGUCGUAACACAGUAGGGGUAAUGGAAAUUGCCCCUAUCCC